AGUUGCUUUGAGCUCUAGUUUGGAAUAAUAUAUGUUUGGCUUAUGCUCAUGCAGGCUUUUUCAUUCACUAGGGUGCUAAGAUGGCAGAGAUCUAAGCUCCUGGAUGUCCUCAGCUGCUUUAUCUUCCCUGAACCAGGAGAGAGAUGUGGCAGCUACUGGUUACUCAGGUACUUGUGGAAAGGAUGUGAGGGAUCAACAGAGAAAUACAUUUCGAAAACUAUUGAACUGGGUAGUCUUUGAGUCCUUCUACCCUGAAUUGUCAGGUCGACGAUGGCAGGUAUAGUGAACUUAAGUUAACUACGGUUUUCAUAUGUGGGGACUUGAUGGGAUUCAUCAUAACCUUGGAAAUAAUGUUUUGUAGCAGAAAGUUACUCAAUUUUGAAAGAGAAGAUCUGGGUUUACAACUUGAUUCAUGAUUAGGAGGUAUAUUAGUCAAAAUAUGGAAACCAUGUAAGCCUUAUUAUCCUUAUUUAUAACUUGGGAUCUGUAAGAAUGCUCUGUGAAUUUCGCUGUGUUGUUAUGAAGAUUGUUAUUAUAAUAUAUGUGACAUUUAUUUAUAAACCAUAACAUGGCCACAAAAAUACUGUUUUUAUAUCUCUUACUAUUGUUAUCUCAGCCUUUUCUAUUUAAUUUUUCUUAGAAGAAUUUAAGCCUUCACCUAAGAUCACAGCAUUAAGAUUUAUCUUUGUGUUUGUCCAGUGAAGUACUUUCCUCAGAAAAUAAUACAUUUUGAUGACGUUAAAAAAAAAAAGCCAGGAGAAUCUACAAUUAAUAUGACCAUGUUUUGACUUAGUAUUUAUAAGGAAACAUAAUUUCUAGAUAAAAAAUAUAUUUGGUAUGAUUUAUUUAAAUUUCAUAUUAAACAUUUAUGAUUAUUUGCAAGUAUUUCUGAUAUUCCUGUUUUCACCAGAAGAGGCCACUAUGACCAAACUUUCUGAAUUUAUUAUCAGUUUGAAUAAUUCCAUUUAGCUUAGAAAAUUGUUAUGCAUUUCAAAAGUCAAUGAUCAGGAGUAAGGCGUUUUUCUUUUUAAUCUCCUUUUGAAAGGCGGCCUUCCAGUUGAGAGUGGUAAAUAUAUACAUUCUUCCCUCCGAUUUAUUGUCAAGAGCCAUAGUUUUAAAGGUUGAUAGACAUAGAUUCAAAUCUUGGUUCUACGAGAGAAACAAAGUGCUUAAUCUUGGCAAAUACCUUAAACUUGUUCACUUUUCAAAAAAGAAAAUAAUGAUAUUUAGCUCGUUUGUUUUUUAAAAAAAGAUUAAAUGAGCUAUUAUCACUAAAUUACUUUAAAAAGUGACUUAAAUGAACAAAUACUAGUUCCUGUCGUUCUAGAUUGUCUGGUAUACCCUUUGUCAGCAGGUAGUUUUUAAAGAUCCUAAAAUACUUCAGGUACUUUUACCUGUAAAUGAAAAAAUGAAUGGAAGACCAAUUUCAAGAAUGUUAGUAUACAGAAGUUUGAAUAGUUGACAAGGGGGAGAUUAUGAUUUAUUUGUUUUUUUUUUCUAUAAAGUUCAUAAUUUACAGUGGCUCAUGACUGUGAUCCCGGCACUUUGGGGGAAUGAGGUGGGUGGAUCACUUGAGGUCAAGAGUUCAAGACCAGCCUGGGUAAUGUGAUAAAACCCCGUCUCUACUAAAAAUACAAAAAUGAACUAGGUGUGGUGGUGUGCACCUGUAAUCCCAGCUACUCGGGAGGCUGAGACAGGAGAAUUUGCUUGAACCUGGGAGGUGGAGGUUGCAGUGAGCCAAGGUUGUACCAUUGCAGUCCAGCCCAACAACAGAGCAAGAUUUUUUCUCAAAUAAUAAUAAUAAGAAUAAUUUUUAAGAUAGCAUAUAUUACUUUGGAACAAUAAAAUAUUAAAAUUAAUAACA
rnacentral:lncRNA from 13 species